rnacentral:rRNA from 1 species
GGCCUAACCCCCCUCCGAUCACAAAAGUUUGGUCCCAGCUUUAAAGUCUAUUCCCCCCUUAACUUACACAUGCAAGCCUCCCCACCCCAGUGAGCACACCCCCUUCCCAGGGCGGUAUCAGGCACAACAACCCGCCCAAGACACCUAACAACAGUCACACCCACAAGGGCCACAGCAGUGAUCAACAUUGAACAUGAGUGCCAACUCGACUCAGUUAAAGUAGGCAGGGCCGGCCAAGUUGGUGCCAGCCGCCGCGGUUACACCAAGAGACCCAAAUUGACUUUUUUCGGCGUAAAGCGUGAUUAAAGUUAAAACAAACUGAAGUCAAAUCUUAACUAAGCGGUAACAUGCCUGUUCUUGAGAAGCCCACAAACGAAAGUUACUUCAAUCUUUACAACUUGAACCCACGAUAGCCGGAGCACAAACUAGGAUUAGAUACCCUACUAUGUCCGGCCCUAAACUUUUAAUUACACCCUAU